UUGGAAAAUUGAAAAGUGCCCUUUGGGGAGCCCGAUGACAGGUGCUUCAUGGCUGUUGUCAGCUCGUGUCGUGAGAUGUUGGGUUAAGUCCCGCAAUGAGCGCAACCCCUAUCUUCAGUUACCAUCGAUUCGGUCGGGGACUCUGGAGAUACUGCCCCGGUUAACGGGGAGGAAGGUGGGGAUGACGUCAAGUCCUCAUGGCCUUUAUGCCCAGGGCUACACACGUGCUACAAUGGACGGAACAAAGGGUCGCGAUGCCGCGAGGAGGAGCUAACCCCAAAAACCCGUCCCAAGUUUGGAUUGGAGUCUGCAACUCGACUCCAUGAAGUUGGAAUCGCUAGUAAUCGCGGAUCAGCAUGCCGCGGUGAAUACGUUCCCGGGCCUUGUACACACCGCCCGUCACACCAUGAGAGUUGGUUGUACCAGAAGUUAUGGGGCUAACCCUUCGGGGGUGCAGGCA
rnacentral:rRNA from 1 species